UCUUUUUUUCCUUUCUUCUUCCCCGAAACACCAAGCACGCAACAGUUAUUUUUUUUUUUUCUCCCCACCGGCCGUCCCUCUCUCUCUUCCGUGUUUUCAAAUUCCGGCCACCCAUAGCCCUCACGCGCCAGCCACCAAGGAAGCCCGCCACCUCACGAGCUUGGCCGCCAAGUUUCACGGCCAGCCGCCGCCGGACGCGCGCCGAUCGGGCCGGAGAAGCCGCCGGCCGGCCAAGUUUCUCUCUCCUCUUUUCUUGUGUUUUCCGGCCAGCCCACUCCCAAUUGAGCCUCCUAUCCCCCUAUUUUGGGUCCUCUGAAUCCAAAAAUGGCCUCCAAUCCCAGAAAUUCGAAGCGGUUUGCGAGAUAUGGGGAAGUGAACACCGGUCGAAACUUUCCGACCAAAUUCCGGCUACCUCCGGCGGAAUUGGGGUCGACGGAGACCGGAUUGGUGAUCCUCGUCCCACAAGCUUCGAUUCGGAGCACCGGUGAGUCGUAGAAUUGAUCCCGUAGUGGAUCAUGGGUUAAUUGCGUGCUCAAGGUACCAGGUUGUCGGUGUUCACUCGGAGCGGACUUGAUCUUCCUCGCUGUAUUUGUUCGUGCAGUACCUUGUUCUUCUUUUACUGCAGUUGUAAUAUUUCUUUCACUUUUGCUGUAUUCUGUAUUUUGUAGUACUUCAUAAAGCUCUGUAUACUGUAUGGGACACUUAUGUAUUUGUAUUGCACUGGAUUACUGUAUUUUUAUUUUGGAGUGCUGAAAUUUGUGGAACCAGUUCGUAGUACUGUGGGAGGAAUAAGGGGACAAUUAUAGAAGUGUGUUUUCAGUGCAGGAAAUUUUGUGGUAAGUCCAUCCCUUAGGGGAGGUUCUGCCGGAUCUUCCACAGAAGGGUCCGGUAGGGUUUCCCUGGGAUCAGGGCUUGUCUAGGGUUCCGGUGGGGAACUUUGG